rnacentral:rRNA from 1 species
UACGUAGGGUGCAAGCGUUGUCCGGAAUUAUUGGGCGUAAAGAGCUCGUAGGCGGUUUGUCGCGUCGAAUGUGAAAACCCGGGGCUCAACUCCGGGCCUGCAUUCGAUACGGGCAGACUAGAGUUCGGUAGGGGAGACUGGAAUUCCUGGUGUAGCGGUGAAAUGCGCAGAUAUCAGGAGGAACACCGGUGGCGAAGGCGGGUCUCUGGGCCGAUGACUGACGUGAGGAGCGAAAAGCGGUGGGGAGCGAACAGG